UCCUACGGGGGGCAGCAGUGAGGAAUAUUAGUCAAUGGUCGGGAGACUGAACCAGCCAAGCCGCGUGAGGGAUGAAGGUACAGAGUAUCGUAAACCUCUUUUGUCAGGGAACAAAGGCGGGGACGUGUCCCCGGAUGAGUGUACCUGAAGAAAAAGCAUCGGCUAACUCCGUGCCAGCAGCCGCGGUAAUACGGAGGAUGCGAGCGUUAUCCGGAUUUAUUGGGUUUAAAGGGUGCGCAGGCGGUCUGUUAAGUCAGCGGUCAAAGCCCGGGGCUCAACCCCGGCCCGCCGUUGAAACUGGCAGG
rnacentral:rRNA from 1 species